UUUCCGGUUGAUCCCGCCGGAAGCCACUGCUAUGGGGGUCCGACUAAGCCAUGCGAGUCAUGGGGCGCCUUGCGCGCACCGGCGGACGGCUCAGUAACACGUCGGUAACCUACCCUCGGGAGGGGGAUAACCCCGGGAAACUGGGGCUAAUCCCCCAUAGGCCUGAGGUACUGGAAGGUCCUCAGGCCGAAAGGGGCUCUGCCCGCCCGAGGAUGGGCCGGCGGCCGAUUAGGUAGUUGGUGGGGUAACGGCCCACCAAGCCGAAGAUCGGUACGGGCCAUGAGAGUGGGAGCCCGGAGAUGGACACUGAGACACGGGUCCAGGCCCUACGGGGCGCAGCAGGCGCGAAACCUCCGCAAUGCGGGCAACCGCGACGGGGGGACCCCCAGUGCCGUGGCAUCGCCACGGCUUUUCCGGAGUGUAAAAAGCUCCGGGAAUAAGGGCUGGGCAAGGCCGGUGGCAGCCGCCGCGGUAAUACCGGCGGCCCGAGUGGUGGCCGCUAUUAUUGGGCCUAAAGCGUCCGUAGCCGGGCCCGUAAGUCCCUGGCGAAAUCCCACGGCUCAACCGUGGGGCUUGCUGGGGAUACUGCGGGCCUUGGGACCGGGAGAGGCCGGGGGUACCCCUGGGGUAGGGGUGAAAUCCUAUAAUCCCAGGGGGACCGCCAGUGGCGAAGGCGCCCGGCUGGAACGGGUCCGACGGUGAGGGACGAAGGCCAGGGGAGCGAACCGGAUUAGAUACCCGGGUAGUCCUGGCUGUAAAGGAUGCGGGCUAGGUGUCGGGCGAGCUUCGAGCUCGCCCGGUGCCGAAGGGAAGCCGUUAAGCCCGCCGCCUGGGGAGUACGGCCGCAAGGCUGAAACUUAAAGGAAUUGGCGGGGGAGCACUACAAGGGGUGGAGCGUGCGGUUUAAUUGGAGUCAACGCCGGG
rnacentral:rRNA from 1 species